GGUUAGAGCUCAGAAGUAGAGCACUUGUCUAGCAUGCAUGAGGCUCUGGGUUCAAUCCCUAGCACCA
rnacentral:tRNA from 1 species